rnacentral:piRNA from 1 species
UACAUACAUGCCACAUCCACUCCAGUGAA